UUGUUUGUGACUGAGGCUUAAUUUGCCUAUUCCCUGAGACCCUAACUUGUGAUGUUAAAUGGACUCUCACAAGCUAGCGACUCGGGUAUUGGCGGAUGGCAAUACAUCAACGAGUAACUA
rnacentral:precursor_RNA from 15 species